UACGGAGGUGGCAAGCGUUGCUCGGAUUUACUGGGUGUAAAGGGUACGUAGGCGGUCAUGAAAGUCCUGCCUGAAAGGCUAGGGCUUAACCCGAGUUUGUGGUAGGAAACUUCAUGACUUGAGGGUGAGAGAGGUAAGCGGAAUUCCCGGUGUAAGGGUGAAAUCUGUAGAUAUCGGGAGGAACACCAGUGGCGUAGGCGGCUUACUGGCUCACUUCUGACGCUGAGGUACGAAAGCUAGGGGAGCGAACAGG
rnacentral:rRNA from 1 species